rnacentral:rRNA from 1 species
UCUUUUCCUUUUUUUCCCGCAGCCGCGGUAAUACGUAGGGGGCAAGCGUUAUCCGGAUUUACUGGGUGUAAAGGGAGCGUAGACGGACUGGCAAGUCUGAUGUGAAAGGCGGGGGCUCAACCCCUGGACUGCAUUGGAAACUGUUAGUCUUGAGUGCCGGAGAGGUAAGCGGAAUUCCUAGUGUAGCGGUGAAAUGCGUAGAUAUUAGGAGGAACACCAGUGGCGAAGGCGGCUUACUGGACGGUAACUGACGUUGAGGCUCGAAAGCGUGGGGAGCAAACAGG